rnacentral:lncRNA from 1 species
AGAAGACCUGGGGCGCGCUGCUCACUGCGCAGGCGCAGUGAGCCCAGGCGGGCAGCCCUGGCCAGCAGCUCUUGUCCCUGUGGCUGGAGGCUGAAGUCCACGUAGGCCCCGGCGGGGAGCCGCUGGGGUGUAGGCCGGGUGCCUUUGUCCAAGCCUGGCGCCACUGCCCAGACACUUUACUUCAAAUUUGGCUUUAUUUUCAUCAUUGAUAUUGAUUAAAAUGACAUUCACUUGCCCGGAAAGUAAAAGAGGUCUUCAGCACAAAAUAUUGCUCCAACAAGCAAGCAUAAAUCACUGAGAUUGAAAUGUCAUCUAUCUUUAUUGGCCAACCACAUAAUCUCCAUGAAAAUUCUCAACAGAGAGCAAGGAACUCACUUUCUUCUAAGCAAAGACAAUUUGGAUUUGCCUCGUGGCACUGGCAUCUCUUCAUGUCUGGACGUCAGAUGUUAGCUUGGUGCCUUUCUCCCUUAUCAGGGGGACAUUUUGAACCCAGCCGCACCAAUGUUCUCAUGGAUGGUGGCCUUCGAUUCUUCUAGAUUCAAGAUUUGGCUCUUGUACUUUUCCUGCCAGUCCUCUACAAUGUACUGGUGGUAGGGGUCAUUGGAGUGUUCCCGUCUCUUGGAUUUCACAGUGCUCACCAGGAUGGCCACGAUGAUGAAAGAGAACAUUCCAAUCAUCACCAUGAGGUACAGGAUGACAUAGUAGAAGUUCUCAGCAUCAACUUUGGCUUGGAGGGCCUCUUGCUCAGCUGUUGUGUUCUGGCGCCAAUUGUCCAUAUAAGUAAUAAAAAUCCUUCGGAAGACGUCUUCCAGCGUCUGUGUGAAAUUGGAUAAAGUAGACAUGCUUCCCUCCUGCUGCAAUUUAAAUAAUAAAAUAGGCGAACAAGAGAAUUGUGGGGCAUUAUGAGAUAACAUCAAGAGAAAAGAUUGCAGGGGGCAUUGACAGACUCUCCAAUUUGUUCCAUCCCCUAUGUCUAAGUGGCACAUUGUCCCAAGUAUCCUAAAGGGAGGGGUGUGUACAUCUAUAUUUGAAAGAAGCAUUUUAGAAAUGGAAGCAAAACGUUCAAGUAAGAAUUCCGCUAGGAGACGGUGCCACCUGCUGGUGGGAACAGGGAACUGAGGCCAAUCUUCUAACUCAGCCCUUGCGGUUUAACUUCACUCUUGAAUUCUGGCGCCGAGGAGAGGGGAAUCAAAGCAGCGUGUUGUGCUUUGGUAAUUAAAGGCAGAACUGGACGGCGAUGUGUCAUGGAGGCUGGCAAACCAGAACUUGAGCUCCAUGACAACAGGGACCUUACCUGUAUUGCCCAUUCUGUGUCUGGCUGGAAAAAAGCUCUCACUGUAUCCCAAAAGAAUGGUGAUAAUUCUAGAUUCUGGCUGUGAUGAAAUCAACCACCUCAUCUAUUUACAAGGUACUAAGAUUAUCAUUCCGAUGAAAAAGACUCUGGAAAAGAAAGUUUUCACCUUUUCAAAACCAUUAACAAUACAUGACGUUUCUAAUUGAGCUCACAGAGUAGGAAGCUUUCCUUGAUGCUAUUAAUGUGAGCACAAUGGUUUUGUGAAAAGCUGGAAAUGGGGGCAUUGAGAAUCUCUGGUAAUUUCAUUUAGCUAUGCACUGAGCUUCUACUUUCUCUGUGCCUGGUUCAGAAUAUUAGAAGAGAUGGCAAUGAUUCUGGAGUGGAUUACACCAUUUGACUGAGGAACUACUGGAAUUUUCUUCUUCUCUAAGAUACACACAAGCAUGACGACUUCCAAUGAACAGGCCUCACCAAGAACUCUCCAAACAUGUAGGGUUUCUUUAGUUUAUCAAUGAAACAAGCAACUUGGUAGGAUGCUUCUGAAAUGCCGCUGCUGUGAUAGAGCAAACCAAGUUUUGAUAAAGUUGAUUCUCUUCUGAUGGAGCCUUCCCCCAAGGUGCUUUCCCAGCCUUGCUGGCUUCAUGCUUCUGGGAUUGAGAAGCUUGUCACCAUCAUCAACAGGCCUAGUUUGCAACGGAAAGCCAGAGAACGUCUCAGCUUCCUUGUGUUCUGUUUGCCCUGACAUUACUGAACUUUAGCAAGACCCAAAGUUAACAAAGACCCCUGUCACAGGCCGAAUGGCAGGGUAUGUUCUUUGAUUUCUGUUAGUGGAAAAUGAAUGUAACACAGAGAUCACAUGGGCUGUGAGGCCCCCCUGUAGCCUCCAGCACCCUUUCUUCCUGGAGCAUGAAUCUGGACGGAAAUGGUGCCGUAUUAGGUUUGUUUUACAAAGAUGAUUUUCAAAGAGGAAGAGGAUCAAAAGAAACAGAAAAGAACCCCCAGCGUGCAGGCCACAGGUGUGUGGGGGUUAAAACUGGAUGGGAAGGAGAGGGGGAAGUCCUGGAACUCAAGGAGGCACAACCGUGGGGGCUUCAUUUUCCCCAGGAACUAUAAAAGGCCAAUGGGCUCUUGUAGGAAAAAAGCAGAUCAGCACAGAUGGGAGCAGAGAAAGGGCUCUCACAGCAAAUUUUGCCGGCUUUCCAGUUUUUCCAUAGAUCAGACCACUUUUUGGCCUUUGCUUAGAACCAUCAAGCUUCCUCCUUAGGCAUCCAGCACAGCUCUUUCCAUAUAUGUGGCGGUUUUUUGUUUUGUUUUAAUAAAGAAAAAUGUUUAUAAGCAUUGUACACAUUGCAUACUGGAAAUCUGCCAAGAGAGUAGGUUUUAGGUGCUCUUACCACACAUACCCCCCCCCAAAACACACACGAACAUGGACAUGUUAAUGGUUGGUGUAAUAUGUUAACGGUAUGUUAAUUUGCUUGUCUGUGGUAAUCACUCCACAUAUGUACGUCAGAACAUCUUGUUGCAUAUCUUAAAUACAGACAAUAAAAAAAGAAAAUCUUGGCUGGGCGUGGUGGCUUUUGCCUGUAAUCCCAGCAUUUUGGGAGGCCAAGGAGGGAGGAUCACAUGCCAGGAGUUCGAGACCAGACUGGGUUAACAUAGUGAGAUCCCAUCUCUACAAAAAAAAAUUUUAAAAAGAAAAUCUUUGAAAAGUUAAAAGAGAAAUAUUGAAGAACAGUGAAAACAGGUGUUAUAGAAAUCAUUUUAGUUCUAUAUAAAAACUUUUAUUUGUUUGUAAAUAAAAAUAUUUGAUAUUUACAUUC